AAAGGACAUAUAACGUACAGCUUUCAAUACACAGAGAAGUACCUCUGGAUACAAAAACCCAAGGAAGACACCCAGAUCAACAACGACUCUCCAAGCCAACUUGUAAUAUUUGAUCCACAGGACGGCUCACCUUCACUCCAAUAUGAAGUACAAGGUUUUAGGAUUCCUCACACUGGCUCUGCUGGGAUCCACCAUGGCCCAGUCUACUUCUUCUAAUCCAAGUGACACUACUACCAUGACAACCAUUUCUGGAAUACCCACCAAUACUACUUCAACUGCUACAGAUCUUACAGCCACGGCAACAGGUAGUACUACCAAUGCUAUUGUUCACACAACAACAGGUGGUACUACCAAUGCUAUUGUUCACACAUCAACAGGUGGUACUACCAAUACUACUGUUCACACAACAACAGGUGGUACUACCAAUGCUACUGUUCACACAACAACAGGUGGUACUACCAAUGCUACUGUUCACACAACAACAGGUGGUACUACCAAUACUACUGUUCACACAACAACAGGUGGUACUACCAAUGCUACUGUUCACACAACAACAGGUGGUACUACCAAUGCUACUGUUCACACAACAACAGGUGGUACUACCAAUGCUACUGUUCACACAACAACAGGUGGUACUACCAAUACUACUUCAUCCACAACUUCAAACAGUUCCAUUGCUCAGCCAACGUCUACAUCGACAGUACAUACCACAUCAAGCGGCGUCUCAGGAACUGGCGUGUCUCUGUUUUGUUCUGUGCUAUCUCUUUUCCUCUACUUGUUAUGGUAAAAAGUGGUGUUCAUCUUUUGGCCUGUAGUGAUUAUUGCUCAGGCAAUACUAAGACUGACUGGCUAUGAUUAAAGCCCCGACCAUGGAGCGAAUAUGAGUAUGGAUUUAUUUACUUAUAACUGGAGCACCGGCCAUUGAUGUUUAAUCAUUUUAAUUUGUUGUAAACAGUCAGAAACAGGCAAAUAGAUACUCAGUGUUUUGAAAUGUUUUUGUUGUAGGAACCUCCCUCCAUUUUCCUAAUAAAACAUAUACUUAAUGUCUA